UCUUCCCAUCUACAGUGCCUUCAUCUAUCUUCAGACAUUCCAUAUAACAAGUGAUGGCUUCAGCUUUAUGCAGAGUUUGCUGAAACAUCUCUUCUGCACGAUCAAGAUCCCCAUCCUCGCUGUACUGAUUUGCCAGCUCAAUCAUAGCUGUAAUGAAGCCAGGCUUUAGUUCGGUGGUCUUGUCUAAAUAAUAAAUGCACUGACUUCGACUCCUCUGAAUCUCAGCACCAGCACUAGGUACCUACACAGCGACGUUCUUUCUCAGUGGCUUUGCACUCAUCUCCAGCGCUCUCCUGCUGUGUACCAUCACUGUGGUCCGUCACUGCCAGAGAAUUCAGAAGAACUCGCUAAGCAAAGUCUCCACACCAGAUGCAUGUGAAGGCAAACAGGCAGAGUUUUAUACUGCAAAAAUCUUAUAGUGUUGGACCUAUUGGUUAUAUCAUCUGUAUUGUUUUAUUUUUGUUAAAAAAGCAAAAACAAUACAAAACAAAAAAACAGGUGCAUAAACUUCAGUAGUUAGUGGGGGGAAAAAGGAAAUUUGUAGCAGUAAUAGCAAAUUUUUACAGUCUGAAAUUCGGUUAAUGUGCCCUUUCUAUCUGGCAACUUUCUGUUAGAAAGCAUUUCAUUCGUAGAUUGUAAAUGAAAAGUUCAAAACAGAAAAGGUGAGUUAGAGUUGGAGCAUAUUGCAUCGUUUGUUUGUUUUGUUUUUUCGUUUGUUUUUGUAAAGUGUUUAUCCAAAAGUGCUGUAUAACUUGAGAAUGUGUUUGUUGUGUUUUUCUCUCUAGUAUGUCUAGUAUCUCACAUGUACUGUGGUUAAAAAUAUCAGCGUCAUAAUUUUUCUAUGAAUCAGCUUGGAAGAGAAAUUAAUGCCACUAGAGGGCAGUGCUGAUUCAACUCACUCCAAACUUGAACAAGUACUGGAAGCUGAUAUGUCAGUGUUCAUAUCAAGUACAUUGACAGAAGAUAAAGGUUAAGUGACCAUCUUAUAAGAUAUAUUUACAUAUCAUCUUUAUUUGAUGAAAGAAAAAAGUUACAAUGUCUUUUACAAUAAACAUGUUUUAAACUAAAUAAUGAUUAAUUAAAGAUUAGCCCAGUGACAUAAAAAUUGUCUGUACUGAUCUUGAAUAAACAUUUUAUUCCUGUUUGCGUAAUAAAGGGUACUUGUUUAAUACUUUAUAUUGCUCCCAUCUUUAAACAAAGAAUUAUUGUUUUACUCAAGUAGAAUAUACAAAAAUUACUGGUAAAUCAUGACUCAGAAUGCAAUUCUGCUCUUGUAUCAGAAUGCAAAUGAUCCUGCUUUAAAUGCACAGAAUAGUUAGAUAUUCAUAAAUACUAGUAUUUUGCAGAAUGUCUUCAGCCUCCUAUGGUCCUGCAUUUCUCUCUUCUUUACUCACAGGGAUCCUCAAGUCUUUCCUGCUCCCAGGGCUUUUAGAUGAACGUUUAUCAUUAAUCUUUCCCAGCUGUUUAGCACUUUUCUUCCCAUCUACAGUGCCUUCAUCUAUCUUCAGACAUUCCAUAUAACAAGUGAUGGCUUCAGCUUUAUGCAGAGUUUGCUGAAACAUCUCUUCUGCACGAUCAAGAUCCCCAUCC